UACGGAGGGGGCUAGCGUUGUUCGGAAUUACUGGGCGUAAAGCGCACGUAGGCGGACCUGCAAGUCAGGGGUGAAAUCCCGGGGCUCAACCCCGGAACUGCCUUUGAAACUGCUGGUCUUGAGGUCGAGAGAGGUGGGUGGAAUUCCGAGUGUAGAGGUGAAAUUCGUAGAUAUUCGGAGGAACACCGGUGGCGAAGGCGGCCCACUGGCUCGAUACUGACGCUGAGGUGCGAAAGCGUGGGGAGCAAACAGG
rnacentral:rRNA from 1 species